rnacentral:ncRNA from 1 species
AAACACGUUAGAAAAAGGAAAAGUAAUUAGCCCCUGGUUAUUUAGGGAGAGCACACCCUGACUGCAAGUGUGCUUAUAACCAAGACUAGUGAAUUCACCUUUUGAGUGAUGUUAAUAGCAUCCGGUUUAGACCGUUAUUUCAAUUAAGUGGUGAUUUUAAAUCACAAAUAGGGUGGUACCGCGUACUGAGCGUCCUUAUA